rnacentral:rRNA from 1 species
UGGGCAAUCUGCCCUGCACUCUGGGACAAGCCCUGGAAACGGGGUCUAAUACCGGAUAUGACUACCGAUCGCAUGGUUGGUGGUGGAAAGCUCCGGCGGUGCAGGAUGAGCCCGCGGCCUAUCAGCUUGUUGGUGGGGUGAUGGCCUACCAAGGCGACGACGGGUAGCCGGCCUGAGAGGGCGACCGGCCACACUGGGACUGAGACACGGCCCAGACUCCUACGGGAGGCAGCAGUGGGGAAUAUUGCACAAUGGGCGAAAGCCUGAUGCAGCGACGCCGCGUGAGGGAUGACGGCCUUCGGGUUGUAAACCUCUUUCAGCAGGGAAGAAGCGCAAGUGACGGUACCUGCAGAAGAAGCGCCGGCUAACUACGUGCCAGCAGCCGCGGUAAUACGUAGGGCGCGAGCGUUGUCCGGAAUUAUUGGGCGUAAAGAGCUCGUAGGCGGCUUGUCGCGUCGGAUGUGAAAGCCCGGGGCUUAACCCCGGGUCUGCAUUCGAUACGGGCAGGCUAGAGUUCGGUAGGGGAGAUCGGAAUUCCUGGUGUAGCGGUGAAAUGCGCAGAUAUCAGGAGGAACACCGGUGGCGAAGGCGGAUCUCUGGGCCGAUACUGACGCUGAGGAGCGAAAGCGUGGGGAGCGAACAGGAUUAGAUACCCUGGUAGUCCACGCCGUAAACGUUGGGAACUAGGUGUGGGCGACAUUCCACGUCGUCCGUGCCGCAGCUAACGCAUUAAGUUCCCCGCCUGGGGAGUACGGCCGCAAGGCUAAAACUCAAAGGAAUUGACGGGGGCCCGCACAAGCGGCGGAGCAUGUGGCUUAAUUCGACGCAACGCGAAGAACCUUACCAAGGCUUGACAUACACCGGAAACGGCCAGAGAUGGUCGCCCCCUUGUGGUCGGUGUACAGAUGGUGCAUGGCUGUUGUCAGCUCGUGUUGUGAGAUGUUGGGUUAAGUCCCGCAACGAGCGCAACCCUUGUUCUGUGUUGCCAGCAUGCCUUUCGGGGUGAUGGGGACUCACAGGAGACUGCCGGGGUCAACUCGGAGGAAGGUGGGGACGACGUCAAGUCAUCAUGCCCCUUAUGUCUUGGGCUGCACACGUGCUACAAUGGCCGGUACAAUGAGCUGCGAUACCGUGAGGUGGAGCGAAUCUCAAAAAGCCGGUCUCAGUUCGGAUUGGGGUUUGCAACUCGACCCCAUGAAGUCGGAGUCGCUAGUAAUCGCAGAUCAGCAUUGCUGCGGUGAAUACGUUCCCGGGCCUUGUACACACCGCCCGUCCCGUCAC